rnacentral:lncRNA from 1 species
GACUUUCAUAAUUGAAAAACCAUUUUCUAUUUAUGCACUCUAACAAGGAGUCUAGAUUUGGAAUAAGUAUAUAAAAUCAAGUGUGCAUUAGAUUAUAAACCUUUUUUUCUAUAUAAAAAUAAUAGUUUCUUGUCCGGGUACAAUGGUUUUAUGAGAAACAAAUGGUCCGCACCUCAGAUAGAAAUAAAAUGAACAUGAAAUCAUAUAUAGUUGUGUCAGAGGGGACGUUUAAAAUGUUAUCUAUCCUAUGUCUAAAAAUUAAAAGUAAGAUGUGAGGGGACUCUUAUGUUUGGUUCAGCGCUCUCAAAAGAUGGGUUUGAAGACGUAAUCAGCAAUUCUAUUAUGGGGGAAUUGUUUAAUUGUGG